rnacentral:rRNA from 1 species
AUACACCGGUUCUCGUCCGAUCACCGAAGUUAAGCAACGUCGGGCGCGGUUAGUACUUGGAUGGGUGACCGCCUGGGAAC